rnacentral:rRNA from 1 species
AUACGUAGGGCGCGAGCGUUGUCCGGAAUUAUUGGGCGUAAAGAGCUCGUAGGCGGUUUGUCGCGUCUGCCGUGAAAUCCUCUGGCUUAACUGGGGGCGUGCGGUGGGUACGGGCAGACUGGAGUGCGGUAGGGGAGACUGGAAUUCCUGGUGUAGCGGUGGAAUGCGCAGAUAUCAGGAGGAACACCGGUGGCGAAGGCGGGUCUCUGGGCCGUUACUGACGCUGAGGAGCGAAAGCAUGGGGAGCGAACAGGAUUAGAUACCCUGGUAGUCCAUGCCGUAAACGUUGGGAACUAGGUGUGGGGUCCAUUCCACGGAUUCUGCGUCGGAGCUAACGCAUUAAGUUCCCCGCCUGGGGAGUACGGCCGCAAGGCUAAA